UACGGCUCAGUAACACGUGGACAACCUGCCCUUAGGUUGGGUAUAAACCCGGGAAACUGGGUAUAAUACCCGAUAGGUCUCGAUUGCUGGAAUGCAUCGAGAUUUAAAGCUCCGGCGCCUAAGGAUGGGUCUGCGGCCUAUCAGGUAGUAGUGGGUGUAGCGUACCUACUAGCCUACGACGGGUACGGGUUGUGAGAGCAAGAGCCCGGAGAUGGAUUCUGAGACACGAAUCCAGGCCCUACGGGGUGCAGCAGGCGCGAAAACUUUACAAUGCUGGCAACAGCGAUAAGGGAACCUCGAGUGCCAGGUUACAAAUCUGGCUGUCGAGAUGCCUAAAAAGCAUUUCAUAGCAAGGGCCGGGCAAGACCGGUGCCAGCCGCCGCGGUAACACCGGCGGCUCGAGUGGUAACCGUUAUUAUUGGGUCUAAAGGGUCUGUAGCCGGCCGGAUAAGUCUCUUGAGAAAUCUGGCAGCUUAACUGUCAGGCUUUCAGGAGAUACUGUCUGGCUCGAGGCCGGGAGAGGUGAGAGGUACUUCAGGGGUAGGGGUGAAAUCUUGUAAUCCUUGAAGGACCACCAGUGGCGAAGGCGUCUCACCAGAACGGACCUGACGGCAAGGGACGAAAGCUAGGGGCACGAACCGGAUUAGAUACCCGGGUAGUCCUAGCCGUAAACGAUACUCGCUAGGUGUCGGCCACGGUGCGACCGUUGUCGGUGCCGUAGGGAAGCCGUGAAGCGAGCCACCUGGGAAGUACGGCCGCAAGGCUGAAACUUAAAGGAAUUGGCGGGGGAGCAC
rnacentral:rRNA from 3 species